rnacentral:rRNA from 1 species
UACGAAGGGGGCUAGCGUUGUUCGGAAUUACUGGGCGUAAAGCGCGCGUAGGCGGAUCGGUCAGUUAGGGGUGAAAUCCCAGGGCUUAACCCUGGAACUGCCUUUAAUACUGCUGAUCUAGAGUUCGAGAGAGGUGAGUGGAAUUCCGAGUGUAGAGGUGAAAUUCGUAGAUAUUCGGAGGAACACCAGUGGCGAAGGCGGCUCACUGGCUCGAUACUGACGCUGAGGUGCGAAAGCGUGGGGAGCAAACAGGAUUAGAGACCCUGGUAGUCCACGCCGUAAAUUAUGGAAGCUAGCCGUCGGACAGUUUACUGUUCGGUGGCGCAGUUAACGCAUUAAGCUUCCCGCCUGGGGAGUACGGUCGCAAGAUUAAA